rnacentral:antisense_RNA from 1 species
CUUCACCGAGCCGAGCCAGAGCGGGCGUUCGGGCGCGCGGCCCUUGCCGUAGGUGGCGAUGAGGGCCUGGGCCUC